GAAGCAGCCCAGAUGAGAGAAAAGGUGCUUUAACUUUGAUUGCUGCAGAUUUUCUUGGCGUUUAAGUGCUGAUGAAGCAGGUCAGUCAAAACUGAAGAUCAGCUUUUGAUCAUGAAGAGGAGAUUAGGUCACAGAUGUUCAAUAAGGAAAGACCAUGUGAAGACACAAGAAGAUGGUCAUCUGCAAGCCAAGAGAAAUGUCUCAAAAGGAACUGGCCCUGCUGACAUCUUGACCUUGAAUUUCCAGCCUCAGGUUCUUGGAUGCUUGAUGGAAUUAAGGAUUUGAGAACAUGAGAACAAACAGGAAUAUGCAGGAAAUCUUGAGGACACAGGAGAUGAAGUCAACCUGUGGCCAAGGGAGAGGGAGGGACAUGAGAAGCUUUGUGAAAGAUGUCAGCGCAAACCUCAGGCAAGUGCCACCCAACCUAGAGCUGUGGAUUGAAGUUUGGCGUUGGGGUGUCAGCCUGUGAUUUCCUGAUCUCCAACUCCACUCCUCUUAAGUCACCCAGCCUAAGGCACUGAACCUCAUCAUCAGAACCUCAGAGUCCAACAUCUUGACCAUAGCCUUGCAACCCCACUGUUAGGUGAGUUUCAAGUUCUCACUCCCCAUAAACUUCUUCAGACCACUGCUCCCUCGAAUGACUUUGUUUCCUCCCAGGUCAUCAGUUUCCUUAGUCAAUUUCCAAGUCCUAUCAGUUGUAGACACUACGAUUGGUCAUCCCAUCUGAGUGACUAUUUCACUUAAACUUGCCUUUCCUCCUCUGUUUGCAAUAACUCUCAUACAUAGCUCUAGCUUAACAUCCACGUUGCCUUCUCUAUUCUUACCUCCAGGACAGCAGAACACUAAACAUUAAGUUCUUCAAUGCUAAAAAACAUCCUGUAAUCACGAAAAUCAGCCCAGUACAAAUUCAUGCUCACUACACGUGGUUCUCAGCUGCUGUGGGGCCUCUCUCUUCCCUUCAGUAUCCACAGACUUGCAACGUUCUUCUCAGCCUUCCUUCGCACCACUAAAUUAUCUCAUUAAGUCAGGACCAUCUGGUGGGAACUCCUUUAACUUCCCAGGGCCCAGGAAAAAUAAACCAUAUUUACCCAUGCCUCCCUCUUUCUCCAUGUGCCUUUUCAAGAAGAGAGGCUCUUCUCCCAGUGUCUCUCUCCCUGAUUCCAUAUCACCCUCUCUUCUUUGGGAUACUUCUCCAAAGAGUGUGGUCUUUCAGGUAUCCUUACUGUCUUAUGACUGAGUCAUUCCACUUGGCUUAUGAACCUCUUUGUUGCUUAUUCCAGGCACUCUGAGUCUCCCCUGCAUUCAGUCUCCCUUCAGCAUACAACACUGUUCAUGAUGCUUUUUGUAAAGCCCUCUGCUUCCCCAUCCUCCUUAGAUCUUCUGCUACUACUCUGGCCAGUUUUUUCUCUGUCUGCUGCUUCUCCUUCCCUUGACCUAUUACUUCCUUCCUCCUCCUGAAGAAAUCUGAUCUGCAGCUCCUCUUCUGUUUUCAUCAGUGUGCUCACUCUUGAUGCUGCUGCUCCUGCAGCUACUGCCAAGUCUCACUUGAUAGACAGUACCCACUCCAUAUGGGGCAAGAAUAAAAAUCACCAAAAAUAGACAGUUAUAAACAAAUGUCCCUGCCCAUAAGAUUUAUGUAAUCGUACUUUAUCCAUGUGUUAUAUUGCUAAGGACAUGGUGACUGUGACAGAUGUAACAUAAUAGAUGCAAUUGACAUAUACAGUAUUUCUUAUAGCUAAACUACAGCUAAGUUAUUAUAUUUGAAAAAUAAUAUAUGAGACACAUCAAUAAUUGGUUUCAUUGUUAAAAAUAUACACACAAAGCAUCUUA
rnacentral:lncRNA from 1 species